rnacentral:rRNA from 1 species
AUUGAACGCUGGCUGCAGGCCUAACACAUGCAAGUCGAACGAGUGGCGUACGGGUGAGUAAUGUCUGGCAAACUGCCUUCUAGCGGGAGAUAACUACUGGAAACGGUAUCUAAUACCACAUACCAUCGUAUGUUCACAGAUGGCAUUAGCUAGUAGGUGGGGUAAAGGCGCACCUAGGCGACGAUCCCUAGCUGGUCUGAGAGGAUGACCAGCAACACUGGAACUGAGACACGGUCCAGACUCCUACGUGAGGCAGCAGUGGGGAAUAUUGCACAAUGGGAGCAAGCCUGAUGCAGCCAUGCCGCGUGUAUGAAGAAGGCCUUCGGGUUGUAAAGUACUUUCAGCGGGGAGGCGUUACUCGCAGAAGAAGCACCGGCUAACUCCGUGCCAGCAGCCGCGGUAAUUC